rnacentral:rRNA from 1 species
UACGAAGGGGGCAAGCAUUGUUCGGAAUUACUGGGCGUAAAGGGUGCGUAGGCGGAUAUCAUAGUCAGAUGUGAAAGCCCAAGGCUCAACCUUGGAAUUGCAUUUGAUACUGGAUGUCUGGAGUAUUGGAGAGGAGCGUGGAAUUCCCAGUGUAGAGGUGAAAUUCGUAGAUAUUGGGAGGAACACCAGUGGCGUAGGCGACGCUCUGGCCAAAUACUGACGCUGAGGCACGAAAGUGUGGGGAGCAAACAGG